CGUCAUCCGGCCACCCCGGCACGCGCCGGAAGUGCCUCGCGACGCGGGGCCGCCACCGCCGCCGGGCCGAGGGAGGGCCCGGCAACCGCCGCCUGCGCGCCGGCUGCCCCUCGGCUCCUGGGAGCCGCGGCGCUACGGGCCUGCCGAGCACUCGGGCGGGCGCCGAGCAGGCUGGGCCCCGGCGCAGUGGCCUAGCCUGGACCGCAAGGCCGAAGCCGCCUCCGGGCCGCGUCCCGGUGUUUCGGGUUGUGUAACCUUGGCCAAAAUGCUUAAGCUUUUUUCCUGGCUGCCAAAUGGGGCCGAUCGUCUGACCUGCUGCCUCCGGAACUUGAGGGAUCAGAUCAAAUAACCCUUUCCUGGCGCUCGUCUGCCGCUGUGAAUGAAUCACGGGCUCCUGUAAUCACCGUUAGGAGAGAUUGUUAAACUCGUACAGGGUUGGAUGUUUUAAAGUUACUGAAUAUUUACUGGACCCCUACUGUUCAAUCAAGACAUGCUAAGUUAGCUUGCCAUUCUUGUUCAUUUAUGUGUUUACUUAACUAUUUCUGGGUCUCCUCUUCCCAGUCAUAAAUAUCUCUUGGAGUGUAAGCUCCUCGGAGCAGAGAUCCUGUUUCCGUAUUUCCUGUACCUAGAACAGUGCCAGAUCCGUAGUAGACACUGAAACAAAAAAUCUUUAAAAAAAAAAAAAUAUACGAAUGUGGCACCACCAUUUACACAGGCCACUAAGCCAAAAAUCUCGAACUUGUCAGAUUGUCUCUUCUCAGCCAUCAGCAGUCAACAAGUUCUAGCAUUUGGUCUCUUAAAAGUGGUUCAAGAGUUUAUUUUUCCUCUCCUUCCUCUGCCAGUACCAACCAGUCUUCCGUAUCACUAUGUAUUGCAAGAGUCUCACAAGAAGAUAUCCAUCACUGACUGAUCUUCCUCCCGUUUAACAUCCCCAACAGGUGCCAGGGUGAUGUUUUUUUUAUUCUAAAAAGAAACCAGAUUAUAUCGCUCACUCCCUUGCUUAAAACAGUUCUUCAAUGUUAGGUAAAUAAAUCAUGGAGUCACCACGAGGGCGUUCAUCUGCCAGGCACUAUUCUGAACGAUAUUGGCUCAUUAAAUUCUCACAGAAACCCUAUGCAGCAGGUACGGUGAAAAUGUUCCUGUUACAGAUGAGGUAACUGAAGCACAGAGAGCUUGAGUGGCUUGCUGAAACACCAGACCCACUCAGUCUGGCUCCAUAAUAGGUCUUUUUGCUGGUAAUGAUUUACCAACUAUACAGCCACUUUAAAAAAAGGAAAUAGGGCCCUUGUGACUGGACCUCAUGCCAAACAACUCGUUACAAAAAGAGCUAGGGUUCCAGACUGCGCCGAAGCUUCAUGAGACCUCUCCUUGUCUGCAUGGACGAGUGGCCAACUCUGGAGCCCAGGCUGUUGCUUCCCAGUCUGGUGGUGAAUCCUCCAUAGUCUGGUGAGUGUAAAUACAUAUAUAUAUCUUUUCCCUUCUCCCUUCCCAUUGCAAUUUGCUUAUUAUAUCAUUUGCUUAUAUCUGCACUGCCAUUUGGGAUAAAGCUUGUUUACCCUUAAAGGUAUUGUGUGUGUGUCUCCUCCCGCGCGCAUUUCCCACACAGAACACCUAAGAACCUAUUUUUUAUGAUUUUUACGAGAAGUGAAUUCCAAGUUGUGCCUCAGAAUUCAGAAUAUAUCUUUCAACCUCCUACUCAUCCCCUCACCACCCUGGUGAACACAGUGUCUGGCCAGCAGGAAUGAAUGAAGAAGACUAUUUUAUGUUCUUAAUAACUUGCUUGGAAAUGAACAGAGCACAAUUUAUCAAACCAAAGCAAAUAUUUAUACAGGCAGAUCCCUUAAAAUUGAGGAUUAAUGCUUAGGAAGAAUUUUUUAGAAUUUUCCAAAUUAACCACUUGUCUUUCUCAGAAAUAAAUCUGUUACUGAUGCUUCCUCCACCAACCAGCUGCAAAACCACACACUAUUCUUUGAAGGAGGAACACAGAAAACCAACUUACUUCCUGGGGCAUUUGGGAGAGGAAUCUAAAAAUCCUAGUGAUAUGGCAAUGACUAGAACCUUUUUUUUUUUUGUAACAACAAAGCUAAAAGGGGAUGUGUAACUUAGCUUGACUUGUAAAAAUAUUCGUAGAAGUCAUCUAUAUUUUACCACUUUGUGUAACUAAGGCAGAGCAUUAGAGAUUAUUCACAUCAUUAAAUAUGUCCAGUUAAAUUAUUAGAUUACAACACCAACCUCUUGUUCAUAGUCUCUCAGUCUUCAGCUGGGCACGGGGGCUCACGCCUGUAAUGCCACCACUUUGGGAUGCCGAGACGGGCGGAUCACUUGAGGUCAGGAGUUUGAGACCAACCUGGGCAACAUGGUGAAACCCCGUCUCUACUAAAAAUACAAAAAUUAGCUAGGCGUGGUGGCAGGUGCCUAUAAUCCCAGCCACUCGGGAGGCUGAGGCGGGAGAAUCACUGGAACCCAAGAGGUGGAAAUUGCAGUAAGCCAAGAUGGCACCACUGCACUCCAGCCUGGGUGACAAGAGCAAAACUCUUGUCUCAAAAAAAAAAAAAAAAAAAUAGUCUCUCAGUCUUCAUACUUUGUUGCUUAGUUGGAUUAUCUGCUCCUAGGUUUUAAUAUAAGAUGAAAUAAAAGUGCUGGCCUAGGAAUUGGAGGCCAAUUUACCUUAGGGGCAAAGGCAAUGGUGGUGAAUAUACCCAACAGCUUCACUUUCUAUGGAGCCAGCUUGUAAAAUCUUGGGCAAGGAUGGUGGCAGCAGAGCUGUCUGCCUAAGCAUCAUGUAGAAAAUUUUUUAAUGGUUUCUUUGGACCCUAGCUUGCAGUGUCAUUUCUGCUUCUCAUUGUAUUGGAAAUCCAUGGUUUUGUUACAUAAUGUACUCCUAAAAAUGUAUACACAUGUGUUGAGUAUGUGGAAGUUGAAUAUAUUUAUGUUAUAAAUGA